rnacentral:lncRNA from 1 species
CGUGGUGGUUCCAUGGGCACGUGUCUCAUUUCAGUACCAAGCUUUAUUAGCCUCAUGCUGGUUUGUUCUCUUUAUUUCACCAGCUUACUAUAUAUUGAGGACUAAUCUGAUUAAGACCUAGUCAUGCUGAUCAGGGUGAAAUUCAAUGGUGAACACAAAUAUGUCAAGAUCAUUGACCUGACACUUGAAGACCUUUUUAUUGGAGCUUUCCUGAAAUGUGAGAUCCCACUUACUAGUUUAUCAGAGGAAAAGCUGUAUGAUGGGUCUGGAACUGAAAUUCAUGGGGAUGUGUUUGAGGAGGUGGUGACAAGGCCAGAUCUUGGUGUUUUCAAGCUCACACUGAACAAUGAUGCUAAAGAAUCUUCCCUGAUGAGUCCUGUCUCUGCCAGUUCUGUGAUGGGUGGUUCAGACCAUGAGUCAGUUGAUACAAUCAUUUUGAGCGAGGAUGGAAGCCCCUCACGAAAGCGUCAAAGAUCUGAUGACGAAGCAAAAAAUCUAAUAGAGAGCAUACUGAAGAAAAAGCCUGGUGGAGAGGUUGUCAUCAAGGAAUACUACAAAACUAAAAGCCUGACUGACUGCACCAGACGAAAGAUGAUCAAAAUUCUUGUUUCGGCGAUGACAGAGACUCAUGGGACAUCACCACCCCUCAGUGUGAGAGAAACAUUUGCACAAGGCAUCGUCUCCUUGUUCCCAUACCUGAAGGAUCCCUACACCGCAAAUGGAUAUAUUGAACAGGAUUUUGUGCUGCUGUUUGGAGAGCCAAGUUUUUGGAGAGGAUGGGACGGUGACAUUUCCUCCAUCCUUCUCCUGCUCCAUUUUACUCCUCCUUCGUCACAAGGCCGCAAAAGACCAGGCAAGAUGUCUGCAUCCCAAGCUGAACAGCAUCUUGUGAUAUUCCAAAAGGCAGGAACCAGUAUCCAGGAGCACCUUGACGCGAUGGACCAGAGCCGCCAACCAUAUCUUCUUGCAGUCGGGACCAGGAAGAGCAGCAUCCAUGCUUACUUCAUCAUCCUGGACAAGCGAGCCUUGCAAGUCAACGAGCGCUCUUGGGUGCCUUCGAUGAGUUUUUCAAGACUCACUUUGUUUUUGGUACUGCUUACAAUACAAUGCUGCGCAACAUGUACACCUUCAUACAGACAACUGUGUACAACAUAGACAUUGGGAAGGUUAAGGAGACUCCAACGGUUGCUGAGCUCAAGAGCUUUAUUAAAGAUGGAGUUUACUUUGAUUUGGAAGAUGGACUAUAUGUGAAGAGACGUCCUCUCUUUUCUAAAGAGAAAAAUGCAUUGCAAAUUCAACUCUUUUAUGAUGACUUUGAGACCGCUAAUCCAUUGGGAUCAAAAAAGGGUAUUCACAAGUUGGGAGAUGAAAUCUCGCGUCUUGUGACGGCCGGCCGCCCAACAACCUGCCCACUUGACCCUAUCCCCUCCUCUCUUCUCCAGACCAUUUCCGGAGACCUUCUCCCUUCCUCACCUCGCUCAUCAACUCAUCCUUGACCGCUGGCUACGUCCCUUCCGUCUUCAAGAGAGCGAGAGUUGCACCCCUUCUGAAAAAACCUACACUCGAUCCCUCCGAUGUCAACAACUACAGACCAGUAUCCCUUCUUUCUUUUCUCUCCAAAACUCUUGAACGUGCCGUCCUUGGCCAGCUCUCCUGC